rnacentral:misc_RNA from 1 species
UAAUGAGUGUUUAUGGCACUUUUAAAAAUCCAUACCCACCUUGUGUGCAUCGUUAGUCAUGUUCCUUGUUCUCUCUUGAGAGGACAAGGAGGCAGGCUUCAAAUUAAUCUAUCUUUAACCAGUUUGUCUGAAGCAAUGUAUCAUGAGUUAACAUAAUUCUAAAAUC